UACGGGGGGGGUAAGCGUUGUUCGGAAUUACUGGGCGUAAAGGGCUCGUAGGCGGCCAACUAAGUCAGACGUGAAAUCCCUCAGCUUAACUGGGGAACUGCGUCUGAUACUGGAUGGCUUGGAUUCGGGAGAGGAAUGCGGAAUUCCAGGUGUAGCGGUGAAAUGCGUAGAUAUCUGGAGGAACACCGGUGGCGAAGGCGGCGUUCUGGACUGCAACUGACACUGAGGAACGAAAGCCAGGGGAGCAAACGGG
rnacentral:rRNA from 1 species